rnacentral:rRNA from 1 species
CAAUAGCGUAUAUUAAAGUUGUUGCAGUUAAAAAGCUCGUAGUUGGAUUUCUGGACGGAGCAGCCGGUCCGCCGCUGUGUGGUGUGUACUCGUGCUUGACUCGGUUCAUCCUUGUGGGGAAGCGCAUUUCGGCAUUCAGUUGUCGAGGCGGGGAACCACAUCAUUUACUGUGAAAAAAUUAGAGUGUUUAAAGCAGGCAUUUUGCUGUGAAUACAUUAGCAUGGAAUAAUAACAUAGGACUUUGAUUCUAUUUUGUUGGUUGGAGAUCAAGGUAAUGAUUAAUAGGGAUAGUUGGGGGUAUUCAUAUUUAAUUGUCAGAGGUGAAAUUCUUGGAUUUAUGAAAGAUGAACUCAUGCGAAAGCAUUUACCAAGGAUGUUUNCAUUA